rnacentral:rRNA from 1 species
AUACGGAGGUUGCAAGCGUUAUUCGGAAUCACUGGGCGUAAAGGACGCGUAGGCGGGUUGGCAAGUCAGAUGUGAAAUCCUACAGCUUAACUGUAGAACUGCAUUUGAAACUGCUAACCUAGAGUAUGGGAGGGGGAGAUGGAAUUAGUGGUGUAGGGGUAAAAUCCGUAGAUAUCACUAGGAAUACCGAAAGCGAAGGCGAUCUCCUGGAACAUAACUGACGCUAAGGCGUGAAAGCGUGGGGAGCAAACAGGAUUAGAAACCCCAGUAGUCC